AUUGAACGCUGGCGGCAUGCCUUACACAUGCAAGUCGAACGGCAGCGGACCUUCGGGUGCCGGCGAGUGGCGAACGGGUGAGUAAUAUAUCGGAACGUACCUUUCAGUGGGGGAGUAACGUAGCGAAAGUUAACGCUAAUACCGCAUAUUCUGUGAGCAGGAAAGCAGGGGAGUCGCAAGACCUUGCGCUGAUUGAGCGGCCGAUAUCAGAUUAGCUAGUUGGUGAGGUAAAGGGACUCACCAAGGCGACGAUCUGUAGCGGGUCGUGAGAGGAUGAUCCGCCACACUGGAACUGAGACACGGUCCAGACUCCUACGGGAGGCAGCAGUGGGGAAGUUUUGGACAAUGGGCGGCAAGCCUGAUCCAGCCAUGCCGCGUGAGUGAAGAAGGCCUCGGUUGUAACGAC
rnacentral:rRNA from 1 species